rnacentral:rRNA from 1 species
GACGAACGCUGGUGGCGCGCUUAACACAUGCAAGUCGAACGGAAAGGCCCUGCUUUUGUGGGGUGCUCGAGUGGCGAACGGGUGAGUAACACGUGAGUAACCUGCCCUUGACUUUGGGAUAACUUCAGGAAACUGGGGCUAAUACCGGAUAGGAGCUCCUGCUGCAUGGUGGGGGUUGGAAAGUUUCGGCGGUUGGGGAUGGACUCGCGGCUUAUCAGCUUGUUGGUGGGGUAGUGGCUUACCAAGGCUUUGACGGGUAGCCGGCCUGAGAGGGUGACCGGCCACAUUGGGACUGAGAUACGGCCCAGACUCCUACGGGAGGCAGCAGUGGGGAAUAUUGCACAAUGGGCGGAAGCCUGAUGCAGCAACGCCGCGUGCGGGAUGACGGCCUUCGGGUUGUAAACCGCUUUCGCCUGUGACGAAGCGUGAGUGACGGUAAUGGGUAAAGAAGCACCGGCUAACUACGUGCCAGCAGCCGCGGUGAUACGUAGGGUGCGAGCGUUGUCCGGAUUUAUUGGGCGUAAAGGGCUCGUAGGUGGUUGAUCGCGUCGGAAGUGUAAUCUUGGGGCUUAACCCUGAGCGUGCUUUCGAUACGGGUUGACUUGAGGAAGGUAGGGGAGAAUGGAAUUCCUGGUGGAGCGGUGGAAUGCGCAGAUAUCAGGAGGAACACCAGUGGCGAAGGCGGUUCUCUGGGCCUUUCCUGACGCUGAGGAGCGAAAGCGUGGGGAGCGAACAGGCUUAGAUACCCUGGUAGUCCACGCUGUAAACGGUGGGUACUAGGUGUGGGGUCCAUUCCACGGGUUCCGUGCCGUAGCUAACGCUUUAAGUACCCCGCCUGGGGAGUACGGCCGCAAGGCUAAAACUCAAAGGAAUUGACGGGGCCCCGCACAAGCGGCGGAGCAUGCGGAUUAAUUCGAUGCAACGCGUAGAACCUUACCUGGGUUUGACAUGGAUCGGGAGUGCUCAGAGAUGGGUGUGCCUCUUUUGGGGUCGGUUCACAGGUGGUGCAUGGCUGUCGUCAGCUCGUGUCGUGAGAUGUUGGGUUAAGUCCCGCAACGAGCGCAACCCUUGUUCACUGUUGCCAGCACGUUAUGGUGGGGACUCAGUGGAGACCGCCGGGGUCAACUCGGAGGAAGGUGGGGAUGACGUCAAGUCAUCAUGCCCCUUAUGUCCAGGGCUUCACGCAUGCUACAAUGGCUGGUACAGAGAGUGGCGAGCCUGUGAGGGUGAGCGAAUCUCGGAAAGCCGGUCUCAGUUCGGAUUGGGGUCUGCAACUCGACCUCAUGAAGUCGGAGUCGCUAGUAAUCGCAGAUCAGCAACGCUGCGGUGAAUACGUUCCCGGG